AAAAUGAGUGCGCAUUUUUUUAAUAAAUUUGCACAUAUUUCCUUGUAAUCCCGGAACCGGAAGUCGGAUCCAAAUGAAAUUCAAGAAAAUUGUAUGAGGCCAUAAGACCUUUCAUUUGAAUCUAAGUUUGUGAAAUCGAAUCAGCCAUCUCUGAGAAAAUUGAGUGACAUUAUUUGUCACAUACACACAUACAUCUUGUGAUCUCGCUGAACUGAGUCGAAUGGUAUAUGAUACUCGGCCCUCCUCGGUUGUAAAGUCGGUUUUCACAGCGAUUGCAUAGCCUUUCUAUAUGAGAAUGGCAAAAAUUCGUUCCUCUAAUAAUAUCAGAUGUGACUCCCUUCACAAAGAGUUGAGUCUAUGCAAGACAAAUUUUACGAUUUUAUCUGCCAUCGACAGGACAUAACUUAGCAAUUUUUGCCGAACGCCGCAAUUUGCAACCCACAAGUUUACGGUCGGAAAACAAAUUCUAUUACCCGAUCACAGAAGACUCGUUUCUCUUUAUAACUCAGUAAAAUUUACCGCAGUAACACCAUAGCAGCAAACAAAUACAACAGCUAGGCCAUCUGCGACUGACGGCAAAGGUCAUUUUGUUAUAGCAACCCAUUUUAAAGUUGUUAUCCUGUUGAGAACAGUUUUACCGUGUCGUGUUGACACAAUCGUCUUGUUCUUAUGAUUGAUUGUUUCGAAUUGUGUUAAAGAAGCUGGUAUUGAAAACGGAGCCGGUGGCGCUUACUGUGGCAGGAUCAAGCUGUGUUUUGUGAUGUUAUUUUCAUGUAUUUGUCUAUACGCUUUCGCAAACGACUGCAUUUUCUAGGAGAAUAAGAGUAAAAUCCCAAAACCGAUUGUUGGUUAGUUAAAACAGAGAAGCAGAUUACCAGGCGUGCUUCAUCGCCCACGUGUAUGAAGGGGACUAUCGUAAAACAACAAAUAUUCUUUUUUAUCGGUUGUUUCUAUCUACUUACUAUCUAAUCAAUCAUCUGCGACUUAUCGGCAAUGAAGCAGCUAAAGCGUUCAUAUUCUAGAAAAAAAUUCUAGAAGCUACUUAAUGUUUCGGACAAUACCUGUUCAUUCAGCUGUCCUACGUGAACUUUAAAUGUGUCUUUUCGUGUAAACGUGUGUAUGUGUGUGUGAACGUCCAACCAGCUAUCUGUCACAAACUAAGGUAUUCAUACUUCAAAGAGUAUCUGUACUUCAACCGCAUUCUGCUGAACGGAGCGGAGGUGGCCUUAGCUCCUCAUCCGGGCGGUUUUGGGCGAAAUCAACGUUCGCUGGAUUCCAUCGGGGGUGGAAACUUACUGAAGCGAUCCCUCGAUUCGAUCGGCGGAGGAAAUUUACUUAAGAAAUAAUUUCCGCGCUAUGGUGCAGUCGGUCGUCGUCGGAGGUUUUCUUUCUUUUAACUUUUAGCUCUAAUCGCCUGACGGAGAGAGGACCUAUUCUACUAAUACAAAAUACGAUUAGAACGAUUUGAUGGUUGUGAAAUGAUUUUUCAGCCAAUUGGUGAUGGAAAGCUUACUAAUACGGACACAAAAUGAAACCUCGAGUAUUAGUAGCCAUAGUAGUAACAUGUUACUGACAAAAUGUACCUCUUUACCGAAGUUUUCAUCGUAUUUUGUUCCAUAUAUCAAUAAGAACAAAUAGCAAAUAGCAGGAAUCAUGGAAUAAGUAAACAAAAUUAUCCCCCAUUAUAAGGACUAUCAUGGUUUCAUAAAAUAAAUAUUUUCGUAAUAAAGGUGCAGCUUCAGUAAUA